rnacentral:lncRNA from 1 species
AGAGGCGGCGCAAGGCCGACGGCGGCGGGACAGGACGCGGCGCCGGUUUGCGGGCGCCCGCCCUGCCCCGCCCUGCCCCGCCCAGGGAACAACCGUGUCCGUCUGGGGCGUCAGCGCCCGAGUGCUGCCCGGGCGGGCUGGGAAGGGGACUCCCUACCGAGGGACGGAGAGACAGACCCUGCCGGGGCUGCGAGGGAGGAGAACGUGGGGGCGCAGGUGUGCCGGCUUGGGAAGAGACCGCACGGGAACGGAGCCUCGAGAUCAACUCCAAGUUCUCUGUACUGUUGAACUAAUGCAGCAAGUCCACCUGACCGCUAGAUUUGCUGUUUGUACCAAGGGAACAUGGCACAGGGAGAUCUCCAUCUCUGGAACAAAAAAGCAGUCACGUUUCAGCAUCUGUUUCUUGAUGAUACAGAACACUGAAAACAUGGUGAUCCCGCUGUAUUUAUUGAGCAGCAGUCUCAAAGAGCCAAACCAAGGGAACUAAGGCAAAUGUUAAUGAAACGUUGAAGUUGAGAUUUUAAUUACUUAAAGGUCAGCACAUUCGAAGUUUAUUAAUUUAAAAAGUUAUUCUGUAUUCCCACAGCAAUCCCCACUCUGCUCUUACAUAAAGAAUUCAAGUUACUGUUUAUUUGCUGAUGCAUGAAAAUUAUAUAACUGAAUGUUAUACCUGAAUAUUUUUUGCAGUUAUUAACACUUCUCUGUAUAUUUUUUACAUUCCCAUACUUUUCAGUAUCAAUAAACCCUUUUUUUUUUCUCUAAUCUUUGUUCAAAAUUAACAAAAGCUACCCGUCCUUUCAAGCUUGGAACCUCUAUUCACUUAGCAACAUUUGUUGCUAAACUAUCACAAAACACGCACAGACACUCUGCAAACUAAUGUAUCAGAACAGUAUUAUGACUUCAUGAAAAUACUUUCCGAAAGAUACUUUUAUAAAGUUUUGGCUUCCAAAAUACAACAGCACCUGCAAUCUGUUCUCAAAACAGGAAAAACAUGUUUGGAAAAGUUUGAGAAACGAUUCCCAGAAAAGCCUGUGAGGGGGAUGAAAACACCGUAGUUUCAGAACCUUCUGCACAAACCCCACUUGUAGGCUAUUGAAAAAAUUCUUUCACAAAAUGAUCAUCAUGUAAAAAUCACUGGGGUUUUGUUGGUAGAAAAAAAGGUUCUUUCCCAGUGAAUGAGGUAGACAGUUAAAUGAGAUUAAUCUUGUUUCUAAUAGGUUUUCAUUAUUUUGCUUAAUUUCUUUUCAGAUUCUUUCCCUCAGUCUAACAGUAACCUCUGUAUUUCCAUCCAUCCAAUCUGGAGAGCUGUGAUCUGAGAACUCUCUUCCACAAUACUAUCUGAAACAAAUUAUCUCUGACUGCACUGCUUUCCCCCCACUAUAAAAUAAAUAAUGGCAUUUUAAUCCCAAUCUAAAAUACAUUUUAUCUUUCAUUUAAAUAUGUUUUUCCCAUUUACUAUUUAAUCUCUUUGAUUAUGUGAAUUCCAUCCAGCAGAAUGCUGCAAUACUAUUUUUUCCUGUCUAUCAACUUUAGGUAUUUCCAUUUCCACUUUUAUAGUAGUUGAGUAUGCCUGCCUUCACUUUUUCCUCAACUUCUUCCCUCUUCCUUGAGGAAAAGAUGUGGUAUUAUUAUAACCAAUGCAGAUUUCUCUUGUACCUUAAAGGCACCUUUCCAGGACUGGAGGGUGAGGAAAACCAGCACAUGUUCUCUUCAACUCUGCUACGCUAUAUUCCUAGAGUCAGAGUAAUGAAAUCCCAAUUUUAGCACAAUGUCUCUGGUGUACCUAUGAUUCACAGUACCCAGGAUUUUACCUUAAAGGCACUACCUCAAAGGCUUUAAAUGAACAUCUGGAAGCCCCUCUCUUACUAAAGGAAAAUGUAUAUAGACAGCAGACUGCAGUUAAAUACCUAUCUCAGACAUGGAAAACAGAGCAUAAAUACACUGUUCAGACAUAAGAAACAGAUCUAACUUAAAAUGUUUCUUAAGGAAUAAAGAAUUAGGCACCAACAUUUGCCUAUGGUAGCUGUGCUGCAAGAAUACAUAAAUGCACCUAGUUACAAAUUAUCUAUGCUUUGAGUUUAGCAUAAGGUGAUGCCCUUGUAAGGGGCAUCAACACUCUUGUCUUUUUUUCAGGGAAGAGAAAUUUAAAAAUAAGCAUGUAAAAACUACCUUUCUUUUCCAUCUCUUUUGAAGAGAUGCCAGCAAAUCUAGCCUCCUAGGUGUAUUUCAAGAUGCUCAAGAUCACACACAGAAUUCAGAAUCACUUUGAAUAUAACAUGAAGGAUUUCUGACUCAAAAUGAAUAUCCUGGUCUGUGCUAACACUGUAGGGCUAUUAGCAAGAGAGAAAAAAAAAAAACAGUAAUCCCAAAUUAUCCAUGUGACUGGUUAAACAAACAGUCUAGCACCUUAUUCAAGAGCCAUUUCCUUAAAUUCAUCUUAACUCUAAUAAGCGUGCCCUUGAGAUCAAUAGUAGCUCUGUCUUCUCCCCCAAACUGAUGUAAUUGAGCUUGUAUGUACCCCUGAUUGUUAGAAAAAAAGCAAAGGUUGACUCAGAGUGGACAAGCCUUCUCUUGGGGUAAGAAAAAUCAGCAGUACUAGAGGCUGUGGGCUAUGUGCAAAAGAAGGAAACAGAGAAGAGUAUGGGAAACCACAGUGCUAUUCAGUUACGGGGGAGAGAAGUGGAGACAAGAAGAAAAUCUUUACAGCUAGAUGUUGGUAACCCAGGCAUUUGACUAUAAAAGAGUCAGUGAUACAGCAGGGAAAAUAAAAGACCACCUGCAUCUGCUCCCAACUUUUGCAGGCUUCAGAUCCACAGAAACAUUUAGGUAUUCAGUUGGUGAUUAAGUGCUUAAGCUGUAGUUUAUUAACCUGAGCUUCAUUUUGAAUCUGGCUCUAAGUCAAAAAGACUCUGUCUGUACCAGUAAACUGAAAGGCUCUGUGCCCGUUCUCUGGCCCUGUGAGUAUAUGUCCUUGUGUGUUCUGCAUCCAUAUGGCUGACCUGUCUUCCCCUUCAAUGGUGCCGCCUCUAGGGGUGUGCCCAUGCUGUUCCCCAUGGUGUACCCUGGCGUCUUCUGGAAAAGCAUAGUUUGGCCUCGGCAAAAACAAUGUUGGGGACUGUGAGCAAUGGCACUGACUGUGUCCCAGCACUCGAGCCCAUGCCCUGGCACUGUUC